GUCAUUUCUAUGUGUAGAGUCAACACCCCUCGUGAUGAAUGGGUCAGCUCAGACCUCAGGGAGCGAUCGCUGCAGGUGUGUUGCUGCCUUAGAAAAAGAUCAGGGCCUUGGUUUGCCCUGGCUUCUAUUUGAGACUACAGCACAGUUUAUGUAAAGGAAAGAUUGGGCCCUGAGGAACGCUGUCUGUCGUAAGGCGCAUGAGAAAGAAUAAAGGAAGAUGCCUGAUGUCAGAUUUUUGAUUUUGCUGAAGUUUCAGCACAGUACAAAUUCCCAGAGCCCCAGGAAGGAACACUGAAAAUUUCUUCAGCAGACUAAUGAUGUUUGAGGCUAUUUUUCUUGUUGCAGGCAACUGCACACCAAUGGCAACAACAACAAAAAAAAAGAGCCUAAUGAACCUGCUGAAACGUAUGGCCCUAAUGAAGAUGAAAGUCUCUCUUCUUACCUAGAAACACACACACACAAAAGAAAUUAAAAAAGAAAUGACAAGGUGCCAGCUGCUCUGAGAGAUUUUAGAGGCACAACUGGAUCUGCAAAAAGGAAGAAAGGAAGGGAAGAAAGAAAAAGCUGUUUCCCUGGGGUUCUUCUGCAGGACCAUUCUUCAUUGCUGCUGAGUCUGCAUUAAAUGGCGCAGCUGGCUGAAGGAGGAAGGCUUCUGGGUGGAGGGGAAUACAGAGAUAUAUAUUUUUAAUGGGCUCAUAAGUUCCUAGAGAAGAGAAAUGAAGGGCUGUUAAGCUUCUUGAGCUGAAAAGUUCUUCUGAUUCCAAGGAGCCUGAGUGCUGCAUUGCCUCUGGUGAUUGUCAGCUCCCUGCAAUCUCUACUCCAUUUGUUAUUUUAUUUCUGUGAGAACAAACAGUCUAUCACCUGAUAAGAUUUAUAACUAAUACUGAGCAGGAUUAUACAGAAAAUAUUGAAACUUGUACUGUAAGGCUUGUUGGUUUUCACUGAGAUCUGCUCCAGAAUAGCGAGACAUUAAUACACCAGCUUUCUCCUCUGGAAGCCUGCUGUCAAGGCUCAGUUUGACUUUACUGGUGAAAGAAGAUUGUCUUUUUAUCUCCAGCCCCUCGCAGCCUCCUGGGGACAAGGGUUCUUUGACAGUUUGGGGGCAGCUGGAUGAGUAGGAGAUGCUGACUGUCAUGUCUGAGGUGUGUUGACAGCGCUGCAUGGGAAACCUGCCCAAGCCCCUGUCCACAUCCUUCUUCGUGCCACAGUGCAGAGCUGACAUUUCUAGGAGCAGCGACUAGCAAAACACUGACUCAAAAGACCCAUAAAAAUCAGUUGCCUAAUGGGUAUGGUUUCCUAAUGAAGGGGAAUAAAAAUUAUUAUCAGCAGACUAACAUUCUGCCUUCAGCCCUUGUGUUAAAAAUCUACAGGUCACCCUGAAUUUAAGAGCUGAUUUGGAGACAUUACGUGUGGGGGAUAUUUUGGAAUGGGAAAAGCUCUUAUAAAGGAUGAUUGCUUCUACCCUGGCUAUUUUUGCUUUGCAGCGGUGCCUUGAGAUUUCAUUUUCGGACAGGGAGUGCUUGUGCCAAGUACUGUCCAGACACAAAGCAGAGUAUGACCGUGCAACCCAGGAGGAUAACAUGAACCUAAGGAAAGAGCAGAAACGACUUGCUAAUAACAAUGAAAACACUUUUUUUUCAGUGACUCUAUCUGGAAAAUACAAGAACAGGAGGAGGAAGUGAAAAGGACAAAGCUCUGGCACUUAAAGAUGUUUCAAAGGCACAAUUGAAGCUGCAGAGAGAGAAAGGAAGAAAGAAAAAAGAUCCCUGCCUCACCAGGGCUGCUGCUAAAGGGUCAUUCCUCAUUGCUGCUGCUGCUGAUUCUGCAUUAAAAGGUGUAGCUGAUUAAAGAUUUGGUUUUGGGGAGGGUUAGGGGUGAGGGAAUAUAUAGAUAUAUAUUUUUAAUGGGCUUGUAAGUUAUUAGAAGGAGAAAUGAAGGGCUGUUGAACUUGUAUGGCUAGAAAGUUCCCGGAACCUUGAAUUUAGCAGAUGCUUUAGCAAUUGCCUUUCAUCUUCACAAUCUUUACUUGUGUUGUGAUUUUAUUUGUGCGCCAUCCAACAGGAGCUGUCCUCUGAUAAGGUUUGU
ensembl:lncRNA